rnacentral:rRNA from 1 species
GGAUCAUUAAAGAGUUCUAUAACUCCCAAACCCAUGUGAACAUACCUAACGUUGCCUCGGCAGGUCGCACCUACCUUGUAGCACCCUACCCUGUAGGGCCUACCCGGGAGGUGCGGGUAAGCCUGCCGGCGGCCCACCAAACUCUGUUUGAUAUUGAAUUCUGAACCUAUAACUAAAUAAGUUAAAACUUUCAACAACGGAUCUCUUGGUUCUGGCAUCGAUGAAGAACGCAGCGAAAUGCGAUAAGUAAUGUGAAUUGCAGAAUUCAGUGAAUCAUCGAAUCUUUGAACGCAUAUUGCGCCCAUUAGUAUUCUAGUGGGCAGGACCGUUCGAGCGUCAUUUCAACCCUUAAGCCUUCGUUGCUUAGUGUUGGGAGCCUACGGCAACGUAGCUCCUCAAAGUUAGUGGCGGAGUUGGUUCACACUCUAGACGUAGUAAUUUUUUAUCUCGCCUAUUAGUUGGACUAAUCCCCUGCCGUAAAACCCCCAAUUUAUCAAGGUUGACCUCGAAUCGGUUCAGACAAACUCGCUAAAUUGAAGCAUCUUAGUCAGCGAAGGAAAAGAAACCAACAGGGAUUGCCCUAGUAACGGCGAGUGAAGCGGCAACAGCUCAAAUUUGAAAUCUGGCCCUCGGGUCCGAGUUGUAAUUUGUAGAGGAUGCUUUUGGCGCGGUGCCUUCCGAGUUCCCUGGAACGGGACGCCUU